rnacentral:rRNA from 1 species
AUUGAACUCUGGCGGCAGGCCUAACACAUGCAAGUCGAACGAGUGGCGGACGGGUUAGUAAUGUCUGUGAAACUGCCUGAUGGAGGAGGAUAACUACUGGAAACGAUAGCUAAUACCGCCUACCCUCAUCUAUGCCGAGGUGGGAUUAUCUAGUUGGUGGGGUAACGGCCCACCAAGGCGACGAUCCCUAGCUGGUCUGAGAGGAUGACCAGCCACACUGGAACUGAGACACGGUCCAGACUCCUACGGGAGGCAGCAGUGGGGAAUAUUGCACAAUGGGCGAAAGCCUGAUGCAGCCAUGCCGCGUGUAUGAAGAAGGCCUUCGGGUUGUAAAGUACUUUCAGUGGGGAGGCGUUACCAGCAGAAGAAGCACCGGCUAACUCCGUGCCAGCAGCCGCGGUAAUAC